rnacentral:rRNA from 1 species
GAUGAACGCUGACAGAAUGCUUAACACAUGCAAGUCGAUGGGGAAGUGGUGCUUGCACCAUGGCAACCAUGGCGGACGGGUGAGUAACGCGUAAGGGACUUACCUGCAGGACUGGGAUAACAGGGGGAAACUCCUGACAAGACCGGAUAAUGUCAUGGAGCUGCAUGGCUUUAUGAUGAAAGGAGACGCCUGCGGAGAGCCUUGCGUCCUAUUAGCUAGUUGGUGAGGUAAUGGCUCACCAAGGCGAAGAUAGGUAGCCGGCCUGAGAGGGUGGACGGCCACAAGGGGACUGAGAUACGGCCCUUACUCCUACGGGAGGCAGCAGUGGGGAAUAUUGGACAAUGGGGGCAACCCUGAUCCAGCAAUUCUGUGUGCACGAAGAAGGUUUUCGGAUUGUAAAGUGCUUUCAGCAGGGAAGAAGGA